rnacentral:rRNA from 1 species
AAGUAAAAGUCGUAACAAGGUUUCCGUAGGUGAACCUGCGGAAGGAUCAUUAUCGUAUAAUGGAGGUGCUGGGGUUGUCGCUGGCUUUUAAAAUGGUUGUGCACACCUCGGUGCUCUCACACAUAAUCCAUCUCACCCCUUUUGUGCAUUACCGCGUGGGGGUCCCUUUUGGCUAGUUCUAAGGGGGGUUCUCACGUUUUUACACAUACAUCAUUUUAAUGCAAUGCGUAGAAUGUCAUACUUUUGCGAUCACACGCAAUUAAUACAACUUCAACAACGGUAUGUGAUUGCAGAAUUCAGUGAAUCAUCGAAUCUUUGAACGCACCUUGCGCCCUUUGGUAUUCCGAGGGGCACACCCGUUUGAGUGUCGUGACAUCCUCAAACCUUCUUGGUUUCUUGACCAGGAAGGCUUUGGACUCUGGAGGUUCUUGCUGGCCUUCCUUUGUUGAAGCCAGCUCCUCUGAAAUGAAUUAGUGGGAUCUGCUUUGCUGAUCCUUGGCGUGAUAAGAUAUUUCUACGUCUUGGGUCUCGCACUGUUCGCUCUUGAUCCUGCUUCUAACCGUCUCAUAGAAGACAAUGGUUGAGUGAUUGCCACUUGGCCUACAAACCUUGACCUCAAAUCGGGUGAGACUACCCGCUGAACUUAAGCAUAUCAAUAAGCGGAGGAA